UGGUCUCUGUGGGCACCAGUGAUUCACGUAGAGACCCACAGACUCACACAGAGACCCACAUACUUGCACACUCUGACAGAGACAUACAGACUCAGACAGAGUUGAUGGUCUCAGCUGAGUUACCAAUGAGUGCACAAAACAUCCUGAUCACAUUAAGUAUUUUGCGUAACUUGGCAAAAUUACAAUUGUGAGAAUUAUAAUAUUGGUUUGACUGUCACAUGAUGAGCAUCACUCUCGGCUGCACUGGCUGCACUGCUUUGCGAGAUUUACGAAUGGAUUCUUCGUCUCGUGACGCCGAGAGAUCGAUCGGGAUCAAAUUGGGAGGGUUUUUUUUACGAGGGGCUGAAGUGUGGGAAAGCUUCAGAUCAUCUGUUGCCAAUCUAAAUUUCCAGGGAUAGCCACACAUACCUCGAUAUACCCAGAUGCUUUUGAGACACGCAAGAGAACAACACUGUGAUGUGGCCCAGCAUUCGCCACUUGUUGCAGAGGUUCACAGUUCGAAUCCAGCAGGUCACCCUGGUUAAUACUGUGGAUGUGCAUAUUAACCGCGAAAUACUAAUACUCUGAACCAUCUUCUUCACUCACAAUGGACGUUAAAGACUCUGUGACAUCAGUUGCAAGAGCAGUUUGCCAUUUUGUACUGGUGCCACAGUCCAAAUUUUUGUACAAAUUUGAAAAUUGCCACCGCAAAUUACUCAAUUCGGAUUAUAUCUAGAGUAGCAAUGAUCACCCCCUACGGACAGCAUACUAAUGCACAGGGACAGCUGCCACUGAGGGUACCCCUCAGCGAGACCACAACAGCAAUCAUCUCCCCCUACUAGCAUAGUUAUGCCUGUUUGCAGGUCUGUUGCGGAGUCACCUUGUGCCUCACAGGGACAGCUGGCACUUGGUCACCCCUUCCAAAUGUGUUGAGAUAAUGAGAUGCGAGAUAUAAGCUGCUUGUUGCGUGUGAAGCUUCUCUGAAGCACCCUAGUGUAAAGGAAGGCGGUUCUUCUCAAACAAUCAUAGUGUAGUGGUGAUACGCGCUGGGAUUAGGGAUCGUAUGCCAGCGCGUAAUGAUUGGCUGUGUAUGUGGUGACGCGCGCUGACGGUGGAGGAUCAGGGGUCAGCGCGGGGUCGUGGGUUACGGGGUACUGAUUGGCUGUGGGCCGGUGACGCGCUGAGAGGGAAUGACCGGGUGGCAGCGCGGUGUGAUUGGUGGAGUAGUGUUAACACGCGCUGGGGAAAACGGAUCGUAGAGAGAGUGCGUCGUGAUUGGUUCACUAAGGAGCGAUGCUCACGUCGACGUCCGCAUCAGCUCCGUCUCUCGUGAGCAGGGGCUAUAAAAGGGGAUGCACACAGGCGUAAGGGCAGUAUGUAACCAGCGAAGAAUGAAGACGGGGAUGAAGACAUAGGGCCCUGCGGUACCUAGUCCCGCUGUCCUAACGGGACCGGGACUCUGUGUAACCCAGAGGCGAGUGUAGUGUGUGUAGCCAUAGGCAUAGAGUCUACACGAGCCGAAUGUAUUGUGUGUAGCCAGAGGCAUAGGGUCUACACGAGUCAAGUGUAUUGUGUGUAGCCAGAGGCAUAGGGUCUACACGAGUCAAGUGUAUUGUGUGUAGCCAGAAGCAUAGAGUUUACACGAGUUAAGUGGAGUGUAUAGUCCAAAAGGAUAGAGACCACCCGUUGUAUUGUGACACGUCAAGAUUUAAUAAAAGUGUGUUACCCGUCAAGAAGUUGCUGCCGUCAAUUCCAAUACUUCAACUGGCGUCAGAAGUGAAACGGUCUUCCAAGCAUGGAUACAAGGAAGACCCGUCGGACCCACGGGAUUGACCGCGGGGACAACCUCGACGACUCGGGCCAGCUGGCAUCGGGGGGUGAUGACGAGGAAUUGCCCACGCUGCAGGAUCCGCCGACGGCGCCGGACGAGCGACGGGGGACUGACGCCGUGCUCCGCGAGGCGCACUCCCGCCUGGCGGAGCUGCUGCUCGCCGCCGCGUCCAUCCUGGCGGAGAUCAGCUCGUCGGGAGGAGCGGGGACGGCGGCGGACGUUCUACAGGGUCGCCCCGCAGAUUCCCGCCAAAAUGACUUGGCGAUUCCCGCCAUUUCAUCUGCGCCGACUUUUGGCGGGAACGGCCAUCACCACGUGGCAGCGGUUCUCCAAGCGCGCCCGCUUACGUCACCAACGCGCGCUGCGGACCGCCAUCAAACACCUACCACUGGGGCCGCCAUCUUACACACCGACGGGGCGGCGGAGAGGAAGCACGAGGAGGAGGACGACUUCAUCUUUCAACAGCGCCUUCCCACGUUGUCAGCCUUCAAGGCGGAAGGCGGGGACUGGGGCCAAUUUCAGCGCAGGUUUUUGGCGCAUCAGGAGAUGUCCGCCUGGUCCGACGCUACGGCACUGCGGGCACUGCCUGCCAUGCUGGACGACAACGCGCUCGCGGCCUUCACGUCCGCACGCAGGUCGGACCGCUCCACGCUCAAGGAUGCGCUGGCUCUCAUGGCCAAGGUCUAUGGUCCUCCCUCGGCGUGUCGCCAUCAUUUUUAUGCAAGACGGAAGGCGGACACGGAGACCGUGCUCGCCUAUCGCACGGCGUUGCUGGCUCUCGCCAACGCCGCGUUCCCUCGUAUGGACGAGGAGGGCCAAGAUGCCAUGGUUUUGGAGCAACUGCUCAAGUUGGCGCAGGACCUGGGGGUCCCCAUCAACACGGCCGACGAGACCGAUAUUUCUUCCUUACGGGUCGCUACGAGCAUACAAGCGCACGAGGUCCUUCAACGUAAACAAGGGGUCGUCUGCAACGCUGCCGUGGCCUCAGCUCCGGGCCCGGUAGUCACCGUGCCCCAAGUCGUCAGCCCACGAGAGGAGGCGUUCAUCGCGGGACGACCGGGGGACUGGAGGUCGGGGGGUCGUUCGCCUCUGCGAUCGGCCCGCAAGCUGGAGCAACCGAGAUCUCCGACGACUGUCAUCACGUGUUAUAACUGCGGCCUCCGGGGCCAUGUGGCCUCCGGUUGCCGCGCCCCACGUCAGCGCGCCAUGGGACCUCGGCUGGACGACGAACAAGGCCCCAAGUCAUCCCUGCAAACCCCGGCAAGUCGCGGCACCUCACAUGCCCGGCCCGCAUACUCGACACGCAUGGGCCGUCGCGUUGCGGCGGAGGAGAGCCGAGUAGGGUUCGGGGAUUCGGUUCGGCGAGGGGGGUUCAACCGGGACCGGGGUGACAUUAAAUGGUUGGAGUUGGGGCACAGAAUAGUGGCUGCCUCAGCGGGUUCAUCCGUCGUCACGGGAUCUAUUGAUGGGGUCGAGGUCAGGGUGUUAGUGGACACGGGGGCAUCGGCGACUAUUAUAUCGGACCUCAUUUAUAACAUUCUCCCUGUACAAUGUCGUCCGCUUCUUCCGGUGGAUGUGCCAUUUUACGCCGCUAACGGGGGAUCGUUGGGCAUUAUCGGUCAGAUUAGGGCGUCCAUUUGCAUUGGAGAUAUCAAAUUGUCGGGACCCGUUUUCGUUUCGUCCUCCCUGGCGGUUCCUUGUCUAUUGGGCACUGAUUUUUUGGCAAAAAUGCCCAUCAAAAUUCUCAUUGAUCAGCGUUGCAUUGAACUACCAUCGGGUCGCCGUAUUUCAUUUUUGACGAGCCCUACUGAAAUUCGGAUGGCGUGCGCUACGAUACAAGCGUUAGCGACACAGACCAUGCACGUGCCCCCGGGUUCACAAAUGUUAAUUCCCCUCCGGUUGCGGAAACCAUGGGUGAGGGAGGCCUCGGAACAAGGCAUGCUUUUGGGUCCUUCUAAUAGGGCUGUUGGAGGUCUCGAUUUGUCGGUGGCUCACACUUUGGUUGGGGCUGACAGGGAUCCGUUUGUAAUGGUUUUAAACGCUGGGUCGCGGCCGGCCGUCAUUCAGCAGGGCACCGUGCUAGCUCACGCGGCGCGGGUCCCUGCGGAAGAGCGGCUGGUUGCGCAGGCUGAUCCGAGCCCCAAGCAAAACGUAAAACCGAAGGAGGACCUCGAAUGGGUCGAUUCGCUGUGCGCGGACUCGGACGAUUUGUCAGCGGUACAGUUGGGUGCGCUGCGCGGGUUGCUGAUUGAAUUUUCGGAUGUCUUCAGUAAACAUAAGUAUGACAUUGGGUGCACGGACCUGCUACGCCACCACAUUGAAACGGGCGAUGCAGCACCGGUCAGGCUAAAUCCCUUCCGACUGAGUCCUGCUGAGAAGGAACAUGUUCAGUCGGCCGUUAACGAUAUGCUAGAAGCCGACAUUAUUUCGCCUUCUUCCAGUCCUUGGGGAGCACCUAUUGUGCUCGUUAAAAAGCAGGACGGGUCCUUGCGAUUUUGCGUCGAUUUCCGUCGCCUGAAUAAGAUCUCUGUGGCCGACGCGUAUCCGCUCCCCAGGAUGGACGAGUCCCUCGACGCAUUGUCUGGUGCGCGAUACUUUUCGACUCUUGAUUUAUUAUCCGGAUUCUGGCAGUUGCCACUCGACGAAGAGUCUAAGCCUAAGACUGCAUUUCGGACUCCAGGGGGCCUGUUUCAGUUUAACCGAUUACCCAUGGGACUUCACUCCUCUCCUGCGACGUUUCAGCGCCUUAUGGAGUUGGUUUUGUCAGGCUUGCAAUGGGAUACGUGCCUGAUUUACCUUGACGAUGUCAUUUUCAGUAAAACGUUUGAAGAACACCUCCAGCGAUUGAGAGGGGUGUUCUUGCGAAUGCGAUCGGCUAAAUUAAAGUUUAAACCGGCCAAAUGCCACCUUUUUCGUAAAUCCGUUAGAUACUUGGGUCACAUUGUCGACUCUUCGGGGAUUUCUACCGAUCCUGCGAAGACGGACUGUGUCAGUUCGUGGCCGACGCCCACGUCAGUUUCGGACGUGCGCAGUUUCAUCGGCUUUGCUUCUUAUUAUCGCCGAUUCGUUGAGCACUUCGCCACCAUUGCAAAACCCUUGCACGCUCUAACGGCGAAAGGAGUGAAGUUCCGAUGGGGACCGGAGGAGGAGGCUGCAUUCUGUUCCCUCCGGGACGCCUUGGUAGGGGCCCCACCCUUGCGCUAUCCGGACUUUGCGAGUCCCUUCUUGCUAGACACGGAUGCUAGCAACACGGGCAUUGGGGGGGUGCUGUCCCAAGUCGUUGGAGGGGUCGAACGGGUGGUCGCCUAUGGUAGCAGAGUGUUGUCGCCGGCAGAGCAGCGCUACUGCGUCACCCGUCGCGAGCUGCUUGCCAUUGUUUUUUUCGUACAACAAUUCAGACCAUAUCUCUAUGGUCGUCACUUUACGGUCCGGACGGACCACGCGGCGCUCCAAUAUUCAUUGCGGGUCGCCCAGCCCUCGGGCCAAUUGUCGCGGUGGUUGGAAGUCCUCCAGGACUAUCAGUUCACGACUACAUACCGUAAGGGGUUGCGACACACAAAUGCCGAUGCCCUGUCGCGGUUGUUGCCUUGUCACAAAUGUGCGUGCUUAUCGGGAUCGGCGCGCUGUAAACCGCCAGUUACGGAAGGUAUGGAGGCGUUGGUUGCGACCGCGGGCACACCAAUUGGGGAUGUUCCCGCUACCCCAGGGGGUCAGGACCCGCUGCUCUCACUGUCGCUGAUUGAGUGGGGCCGUCUCCAAAUGGCGGACAGCUCCCUGCUAGCAUUGCGCCGCAGGACGGGGGGUUCCGAAGGUGACCAUGAACGAACUGGCUCCUACGUACUUAAGCAAGGCCUGUUAAUGAGAUGGGACAGUUUGUCCCGGUGGCACGCGAUUGUGGUGCCUUCUGCUGUGAGAGGGAAGGUUGUCUUGGCCGCACACGAACGCCUCUUGCAUUUGGGAGUUAACAAAACGCUUGCCCUGCUUCAGCGUGACUAUUAUUGGCCGGGAAUGGGGAGUGACGUGGUGAAUAUUCUGAAGGGUUGUGUUGAGUGCGCCAGACGGAAACCACCGCCCGUGGCAGCUAAUCCACCGCUGCAAUCUAUUCAGGUCUCGCGCACUAACGAGCUCGUUGCACUCGAUAUUCUGGGGCCUUUUCCAGUCACGCCUAGGGGUAAUAAGUACCUGUUGGUGGGAGUCGAAUAUUUUACCCGGUGGCCUAUGGCGUGGCCACUCGCCAACCAGUCGGCGGCGGCUGUGACGGACGCCUUUGUCCAGGGCUACGUCCUGGACAAGGGGGCUCCCGAACGCUUGCUGACCGACCAAGGGAAAAAAUUUUCGAGUAAAUUACUGCAAGAGGUGUGCGACCUGUUGGGUACUAAGAAGGUGCGUACCUCCCCGUACCACCCGCAGACGGACGGGAUGGUGGAGAGGCUCCACAGGACAUUGACUUCUAUGCUGUGCCAGCAGGUGUGUGAGGCACAUGUUGAUUGGGACCUGCAGGUCCCUGGGGUCCUCGCCGCGUAUAGAAUGGCCCCCCAUGCAGCUACGGGAUUUUCCCCGUUUUAUCUGAUGUACGGUCGGGAAGCCGACCCGCCCAUGGAAACGCAGCUGGGCCUGCCCGCACCACGAACUAAUUCAAAAUUGGCAGAGCAUAUUAAAUUUAAUAUUCAUAAGCUGACAGAGGCAAGGGAGGCCGCACGGCUUAAUUCGCGGGCUCGCCAAAUUGCAAACGAGCGGUUGCGUGCACGGAAGGUGUCCGUGCACAACUGGGAACCAGGUGACAGGGCCUGGCUGCAUUGCCCUCAGGCACCUUUGGUUACGUCGCCUAAAUUGUUGAAGCCAUGGCGGGGACCCGUGGAGGUCGUGCGGGUUGCACGCCCCCAGUGCGUUCAGAUAAAAUGGGGAAAACGCCGUUGGUACGUCCACCCCUCCCGACUGAAACCGUUCUCGCCUCCAUAUGGCCUCCCCUUGUGUCGUGAGGGCCGAGCAUGUGACGUGACCGACGACCCUAAGGGGGAAAUGUCUUUGCCUGAUCCUCACAUGUCUCCGCCUGAUCCGCUCCCAGGUGUCUCGGAACUGACAGCUGCCGACCACCGGCGGCCGGAUCUUCGCGACGGGGCCGGUCCUUCCAGGCCCGAUCCGCGCCGUCUAGAGCUGCCGGAGCCACCGGACGGUCGCCAGCGUCCCGUCCCAUAUGACGGACCAGCCAGACGGACUCGCGCUAGGUCGCGCUACUUUUUAUGACCUACCACGUGAGGAGUCGAGGCAGCCGGAGCGCCUCGUCACUGCGUUUAGUCACAGAGACACUUGGCGCGUUCGUUUUCUGGUGUUCGCUUUUAUUGUGUUGUUCGUCGGGCUGUAUAUUGCUUCUUAUUUAAGUGUUGUUGUUGUGUUGUUGUUGUUGCGUUACGGGGCACACUGGGGGGUGGGGUUUCUUUAUUACUGCGUUGACGUUAGGUUGUGUUGUUGGUUAACAGCCGGGCCGGCUGCAAGCUAUGUGGGAGGGGGUGAUGUAGUGGUGAUACGCGCUGGGAUUAGGGAUCGUAUGCCAGCGCGUAAUGAUUGGCUGUGUAUGUGGUGACGCGCGCUGACGGUGGAGGAUCAGGGGUCAGCGCGGGGUCGUGGGUUACGGGGUACUGAUUGGCUGUGGGCCGGUGACGCGCUGAGAGGGAGUGACCGGGUGGCAGCGCGGUGUGAUUGGUGGAGUAGUGUUAACACGCGCUGGGGAAAACGGAUCGUAGAGAGAGUGCGUCGUGAUUGGUUCACUAAGGAGCGAUGCUCACGUCGACGUCCGCAUCAGCUCCGUCUCUCGUGAGCAGGGGCUAUAAAAGGGGAUGCACACAGGCGUAAGGGCAGUAUGUAACCAGCGAAGAAUGAAGACGGGGAUGAAGACAUAGGGCCCUGCGGUACCUAGUCCCGCUGUCCUAACGGGACCGGGACUCUGUGUAACCCAGAGGCGAGUGUAGUGUGUGUAGCCAUAGGCAUAGAGUCUACACGAGCCGAAUGUAUUGUGUGUAGCCAGAGGCAUAGGGUCUACACGAGUCAAGUGUAUUGUGUGUAGCCAGAGGCAUAGGGUCUACACGAGUCAAGUGUAUUGUGUGUAGCCAGAAGCAUAGAGUCUACACGAGUUAAGUGGAGUGUAUAGUCCAAAAGGAUAGAGACCACCCGUUGUAUUGUGACACGUCAAGAUUUAAUAAAAGUGUGUUACCCGUCAAGAAGUUCCUGCCGUCAAUUCCAAUACUUCAAUAGUAUCAAUCUUAAUUUUGGAACUUUCGUGACUGCAGGAAUUAUUCUUUGGUUCUUUCGGUUAAGUCACGUCUAAAGAUAAAAGAAUACAUUAAAAUAAUAGCAUAUUACGACGUUUCGAUUGCAACACAAGCAAUCAUCAGGCAUAAAAGAAAUAGCAACAAAAAUCUAACUAGAAAACUAUAGACAGACAUACAAGCAGACAGACAUCACAAGUUAGAUUUUUGUUGCUAUUUAUUUUAUGCCUGAUGAUGAUUGCUUGUGUUGCAAUCGAAACGUCGUAAUAUGCUAUUAUUUUAAUUUAUUAUUUUAUCUUUAGACGUGACUUAACCGAAAGAACCAAAGAACAAUCAUAGUAUGUAUUUAUUAUUAAACAUCAGUAGAUGUGGUGGGGUGGUUGGGUUGAAUUGCACUGGUUCGUCAGUUAUUCCCCUCCCCUACUACCCCCAGGUUCCCCUUCCCCCCUCUCCUUUGAAAAUAUAAAUGAAAAUCUAAUGAUUCGUUUUAUUUCUCUGUGUUUUCUUCGUGCAUAGAAAUUGCAUGUCUCACAAUCGUUGCAGAGGAACUGCAGGCCAAGCUGGAAGGCUUGGUUCCUUGUACUGUAUAUUAAGAUGUGUUCAGCCAAUUAGUGAUGAGUGUUCAUUGUACAUGUAGCAGGAAAGUGGAGUGCGUGAAGAAACCCCACGCCUUCGAGCGGGUGACAACAUUCUAUCCCAUACAGAAGGGACAGAUAUCAGUUCACACUUUGCACCUCGAUGCCCACGGGAAGGGCGUUUUGCAACAUGUGUGUGAUCCACCAACCCUCUCCUCCACACUGCUGGAUUACAGGCGUGUGCCACCUUCAGCAACGUUUCGUCAUUUGUGGCGGUGAUCCACCAACCCUCGCUGCUGCCUCCACGGUGCUGCGUUACAGGCCAUGUGCAGUCGAGCUACCACCGAAAUUGCUCUUCCCCGUGCCGCUUCCCCGCGCUCCCUGCUCAAGUAGAAGGAGAGGAAGUCGGCAGCCGUGGGAGCCAGGAGCCGGAAUUUGAGACGGAGGAGAACGAGACGCUCC